CCGCACCGCCCCCAACCGCACAGCGGCGUUGCGGGAGGCGGAGGGCGUCGACCGACCUCGCGCGCAGCGCAUCUCGGGUUAAGGUCAAAGGAUCGGGCGACACCUGGAAACCUUCCUCGGGUCCCCACACCUCUGCAGGCGGCUCCUCCCUCCCUGUCCCCGGACACGGUCGCUCCAGCGCUGGGCGCACACUAUACUGAAUGAUCUCGCCCCAUCUGCCCCCUCCGCCAGUCUGAGGUCAGCGCCUGGCGGGAGCCCAGUGUCCUUACUGAGAGAGGCCCAAGCCACAUGGAGAGGUCACACGUUGAUGUGUCUGUCUUCAGCCUCCCUGAGCCCAGCCUUUGGGUCCUGCCAGCUCAGGCAUCAGAUAUAUGAGUAAAGCUACCUGGUGAUUUCAGCCCUCCAGCUGUUCCAAGUUAACCCCAGCACCAGUCAUUCUGGUCUUCGCAGCUGGGACCCCAGACGUUGUGAAGCACAGACCAAUCACUGCAGCUGAGUACUGUCUGAAUUACUGACCCAUGGAAUUUGUGAACAUAAUAAAAUCGUUAUAGUUUGACACCAA